rnacentral:rRNA from 1 species
GAUGAACGCUAGCGGCAGGCUUAAUACAUGCAAGUCGAGGGGCAGCACGGGUAGCAAUACUGGGUGGCGACCGGCAAACGGGUGCGGAACACGUACAGAACCUUCCUUUAAGCGGGGGGAUAGCCUUCGGAAACGGAGAUUAAUACCCCAUAGUAAUGUUGGUUGGCAUCAACUGACAUUUAAAGAUUUAUCACUUAAAGAUGGCUGUGCGUAUGAUUAGGUAGUUGGUUGAGGUAAAGGCUCACCAAGCCUUCGAUCAUUAACUGGUGUGAGAGCACGACCAGUCACACGGGCACUGAGACACGGGCCCGACUCCUACGGGAGGCGGCAGUAAGGAAUAUUGGUCGAAUGGACG